rnacentral:rRNA from 1 species
AGGGCACCACCAGGAGUGGAGCCUGCGGCUUAAUUUGACUCAACACGGGAAAACUCACCCGGCCCGGACACCGUAAGGAUUGACAGACUGAGAGCUCUUUCUUAAUUCGGUGGGUGGUGGUGCAUGGCCGUUCUUAGUUGGUGGAGCGAUUUGUCUGGUUAAUUCCGAUAACGAACGAGACUCUGGCCUAUUAAAUAGACGAUAUAUUUAAAAGUAUAUCGCGCUUCUUAAAGGGACAAGCGGCGUCUAGCCCCAUGAAAUAUAGCAAUAACAGGUCUGUGAUGCCCUUAGAUGUCCGGGGCUGCACGCGCGCUACACUGAAAGAAUCAGUGUGCGUUCUACCUAGUUCGGAAGAACCGGGUAACCCAAGUAAAUUCUUUCGUGCUUGGGAUAGGGAAUUGCAAUUAUUUCCCUUAAACGAGGAAUUCCCAGUAAAUGCGGGUCAUAAGCUCGCGUUGAUUACGUCCCUGCCCUUUGUACACACCGCCCGUCGCUACUACCGAUUGGAUGACUUAGUGA